rnacentral:misc_RNA from 1 species
AAGGUGCGCGGUCACACACAUGGGUGCUUUUGGAAUGAGCGAAACACGGAAACGUGGUUACUGGGGUUAGAAGAGAUAAGAUCAAAACUUUCAACAACGGAUCUCUUGGUUCUCGCAUCGAUGAAGAACGCAGCGAAAUGCGAUAAGUAGUAUGAAUUGCAGAUUUUCGUGAAUCAUCGAAUCUUUGAACGCACAUUGCGCCCCGUGGCAUUCCGCGGGGCAUGCCUGUUUGAGCGUCAUUUCUCCCUCGAGCCCUAGGGCUUGGUGUUGGGCGGAAGCGUUUCCGCCUGAAAAACGUCGGUGGGGCGACACGGUUGCCAAUGUAUUAGGUUAGUCCAACUCGUUGAAGACCGCGAGCCCGCCAGGACCGCAAGUUUGACCUCAAAUCAGGUAGG